AUUGAACGCUGGCGGCAUGCUUUACACAUGCAAGUCGAACGGCAGCGCGGGCUUCGGCCUGGCGGCGAGUGGCGAACGGGUGAGUAAUGCAUCUGAACGUGCCCAGUAGUGGGGGAUAGCCCGGCGAAAGCCGGAUUAAUACCGCAUACGACCUUAGGGUGAAAGCGGGGGUCCGAAAGGCCUCGCGCUAUUUGAUCUGCCUAUGUCGGAUUAGCUAGUUGGUUGGGUAAAGGCUUACCAAGGCGACGAUCCGUAGCUGGUCUGAGAGGACGACCAGCCACACUGGGACUGAGACACGGACAAGACUACUACGGGAGGCAGCAGUGGGGAAUUUUGGACAAUGGGGGCAACGCUGAUACAGCCAUGCCGCGUGAGGGAAGAAGGCAUUCGGGUUGUAAACCGCUUUUGUUCGGGAAGAAAAACUCUGGGCUAAUACCCCGGGGGGAUGACGGUACCGGAAGAAUAAGCACCGGCUAACUACGUG
rnacentral:rRNA from 1 species